rnacentral:misc_RNA from 1 species
ACGAGUUAGGGUCUACUCGGCCCGACCUCCCAACCCUUUGUUUACUGAACCUCUUGUUGCUUCGGCGGACCCGUCCUCGCCGACCGCCGGAGGGCUGCCGAGAGGCGUCCUCUGGCCCGCGUCCGUCGACAGCCCCCCUUUAAACUCAGAUUGUAAAUCGUGUCAUGAUGUCUAAGUCAAAUGAUUAAAUAAAGCA